rnacentral:rRNA from 1 species
GAGUUUGAUCGUGGCUCAGAUUGAACGCUGGCGGCAUGCCUUACACAUGCAAGUCGAACGGCAGCACGGGAGCUUGCUCCUGGUGGCGAGUGGCGAACGGGUGAGUAAUGCAUCGGAACGUAUCCUGGAGUGGGGGAUAACGUAGCGAAAGUUACGCUAAUACCGCAUAUUCUGUGAGCAGGAAAGCGGGGGACCUUCGGGCCUUGCGCUAUCAGAUGAGCCUAGGUCGGAUUAGCUAGUUGGUGGGGUAAUGGCUCACCAAGGCGACGAUCCGUAACUGGUCUGAGAGGAUGAUCAGUCACACUGGAACUGAGACACGGUCCAGACUCCUACGGGAGGCAGCAGUGGGAAUAUUGGACAAUGGGCGAAAGCCUGAUCCAGCCAUGCCGCGUGUGUGAAGAAGGUCUUCGGAUUGUAAAG